AUUGAACGCUGGCGGCAGGCCUAACACAUGCAAGUCGAGCGAGCGGCGGACGGGAUAGUAAUGUAUGGGGAUCUGCCUGAUGGAGGGGGAUAGCUACUGGAAACGGUAGCUAAUACCGCAUUCCAUCAGAUGAGCCCAUGUGGGAUUAGCUUGUAGGUGGGGUAACGGCUCACCAAGGCGACGAGCCCUAGCUGGUCUGAGAGGAUGAACAGCCACACUGGGACUGAGACACGGCCCAGACUCCUACGGGAGGCAGCAGUGGGGAAUCUUGCACAAUGGGCGAAAGCCUGAUGCAGCAAUGCCGCGUGUAUGAAGAAGGCUUUCGGAUUGUAAAGUACUUUCAGUCGGGAGGCGUUACCGAAAGAAGAAGCACCGGCUAACUCCGUGCCAGCAGCCGCGGUAAUAC
rnacentral:rRNA from 1 species